rnacentral:lncRNA from 1 species
GAUAUAAGAUCGAUAUUCAGAUCUUCGAUGGCGAUGAUUCAGGAAAAUUUAACUUUUGGGAUAGUAUAUUGGUCUAUUGGGUAAAUCGUCGCAGCUGAGGCAACAGAUGCUUGAUGUAUGCUUUCAUUAUUUAAUUAUUUUCCAUUUUCCUAUAUCAUUUCCUAUCCAACUAUUUUCCUUANNNNNNNNNNNNNNNNNNNNNNNNNNNNNNNNACAUUUCAAUCCUAGAAGGAACAUAAGUAACCGUAUAUCUCUAUAUUACCUCUUCAUGAGGACAGUGAAUAUUUUGGUUGACUAUGUUCUCUUGAUUGGAACUAUUUGGUUAUUCAGUUCUACAAAUUUUUUGUUUCAGGAUAUCAUUAAAGAUGACGAUGAAAAGUUGAAUGAGCUGAGAAAAGAAGUGGGUGAAAACGCUUAUAAAUGCAGUGGUGGUAGCUUUAACGGAGAUUAAUGAAUAUAAUCCUAGUGGUCGAUAUGUAACCUAGGAAUUAUGUUUUCUUUGUUGAUUAUAGUUUUGGAUUUUUUUUGAAUUAAUUUAGUAGUUUUGAUUAUGAAAAAAGAAGAAUUAAAAAAUCAGGAAAAGCUAUAAACUAACCAAAAAAAAAAGACCAUAAAUUUAUUUUUUAUAUAUAUAAAAAGGGAG